UUGGGAACCACAAGGCAACUUUGUCUCUCGGUUUUCCAUAUGCAAAGGAAACUUUGGCUGCAUGCUGUGGGAGGAGUAAUCUUGGUGUUGCCCAAAGCUUGCAUUGCCAUUUGGUUGCUCCUGCAUUUUGGAACAAGGGAGACAGCAACCCAGGUAGAUUCCUUU